CUGACUUCCGCUAAGCACUGGUGAGGUUUCUCCUCCGAUGCAGUAAGCCAGCUCAAGCCGAACUGGAAAAGCAAAAGAACAGGUUUAUUUGAGCAAAGCAACUCCAGGAGACAAAAGUAAGUAAG